UACAGAGGGGGCAAGCGUUGUUCGGAAUUACUGGGCGUAAAGCGCGUGUAGGCGGUUGUCCAAGUUGGAUGUGAAAGCCUUGAGCUUAACUCAAGAAAUGCAUUCAGGACUGGAUGACUAGAGGACCGGAGAGGAUAGUGGAAUUCCCAGUGUAGUGGUGAAAUACGUAGAGAUUGGGAAGAACACCAGUGGCGAAGGCGGCUAUCUGGACGGUUUCUGACGCUAAGACGCGAAAGCGUGGGGAGCAAACAGG
rnacentral:rRNA from 1 species